CACCGCCCGUCACACCAUGGGAGUUGGAUAUGCCCGAAGUCAGUGACCCAACCGUAAGGAGGGAGCUGCCGAAGGUGGAGCCGAUAACUGGGGUGAAGUCGUAACAAGGUAGCCGUAUCGGAAGGUGCGGCUG
rnacentral:ncRNA from 1 species